rnacentral:pre_miRNA from 1 species
AAAAGUGCUUACAGUGCAGGUAGUGUUUUGGUAUCUACUGCAGUAUAAGCACUUCUAGC